UCCUCAGUAGCUCAGUGGUAGAGCGGUCGGCUGUUAACUGACUGGUCGUAGGUUUUAAUCCUACUUGGGAAG
rnacentral:tRNA from 1 species